rnacentral:rRNA from 1 species
AUACGUAGGGGGCGAGCGAUGUCCGGAAUGAUUGGGCGUCAAGGGCGCGUAGGCGGCGCGGUAAGUCUGGAGUGAAAGUCCUGCUUUCAAGGUGGGAAUUGCUUUGGAUACUGCCGCGCAUGAGUGCAGGAGAGGUUAUCGGAAUUCCCGGAGUAGCGGUGAAAUGCGUAGAGAUCGGGAGGAACACCAGUGGCGAAGGCGGGUAACUGGACUGCAACUGACGCUGAGGCGCGAAAGUGUGGGGAGCAAACAGGAUUAGAUACCCUGGUAGUCCACACUGUAAACGAUGAAUGCUAGGUGUAAGAGGUAUCGACCCCUUUUGUGCCGGAGUCAACACAAUAAGCAUUCCGCCUGGGGAGUACGGCCGCAAGGUUGAAACUCAAAUGAAUUGACGGGG